AACGAACGUUGGCGGCGUGGUUGAGGCAUGCAAGUCGCACGAGAAUGGAGGGGCAACUCUCCUAGUAAAGUGGCGGAGGGGUGAGGAAUGGGUAGAUAACGUACCCUGGGGAUGGGAAUAACAGAACGAAAGUUCUGCUAAUACCCGAUGAGACCCCGUCUGGGCAUCCAGAUGAGGUCAUAAGCGUGGGACCUUCGGGCCACGCGCCCUAGGAUCGGUCUACUCCCUACCAGCUAGUUGGCGGGGUAAUGGCCCACCAAGGCUGCGACGGGUACCCGGGCUAAGAGGCUGACCGGGCACAUCGGCACUGAGACACUGGCCGGACACCUACGGGUGGCUGCAGUUCGGAAUAUUCGGCAAUGGACGCAAGUCUGACCGAGCGACGCCGCGUGCGGGAUGAAGGCCCUCUGGGUUGUAAACCGCUUUAGACAGUGAGCAAAUUGCGUUCGGUUAACAACUGGAUGCAUUGAGUUAAGCUGUUAAAUAAGCCCCCGCUAAUCACGUGCCAGCAGCGGCGGUAAUACGUGAGGGGCAAACGUUGUUCGGUGUCACUGGGCUUAAAGGGUGCGUAGGUGGUUGUGUAAGUAACGUGUGAAAUCCCCCGGCUUACCCGAGGAAUUGCGCGUUAUACUGCACGGCUUGAGGGACAGAGGGGAAAGAGGAACUCCAGGUGUAGCGGUGAAAUGCGCAGAUAUCUGGGGGAAGGCC
rnacentral:rRNA from 1 species